UACGGAGGGUGCAAGCGUUAUCCGGAUUUACUGGGUUUAAAGGGUGCGUAGGCGGGACUUUAAGUCAGCGGUGAAAGCUCCAAGCUUAACUUGGAAAUUGCCGUUGAUACUAUUGUUCUUUGAAUUCGGUUGAGGUUGGCGGAAUGUGUCGUGUAGCGGUGAAAUGCUUAGAUAUGACACAGAACACCGAUUGCGAAGGCAGCUAGCUAAACCGAUAUUGACGCUGAGGCACGAAAGUGUGGGGGAUCAAA
rnacentral:rRNA from 1 species